AACGAACGCUGGCGGCAGGCCUAACACAUGCAAGUCGAACGCCGUAGCAAUACGGAGUGGCAGACGGGUGAGUAACACGUGGGAACGUACCCUUCGGUUCGGAAUAACUCAGGGAAACUUGAGCUAAAACCGGAUACGUCCGAGAGGAGAAAGAUUUAUCGCCGAGGGAUCGGCCCGCGUCUGAUUAGCUUGUUGGUGAGGUAACGGCUCACCAAGGCGACGAUCAGUAGCUGGUCUGAGAGGAUGAUCAGCCACAUUGGGACUGAGACACGGCCCAAACUCCUACGGGAGGCAGCAGUGGGGAAUAUUGGACAAUGGGCGCAAGCCUGAUCCAGCCAUGCCGCGUGAGUGAUGAAGGCCCUAGGGUUGUAAAGCUCUUUUACCCGGGAAGAUAAUGACUGUACCGGGAGAAUAAGCCCCGGCUAACUUCGUGCCAGCAGCCGCCGCUGUAAG
rnacentral:rRNA from 1 species